UAUUCUGCCCCACGGGGAAGGAUGAGAAGCUUCGACCAAGGUUCGACUCGAGCGAAGCGAGAAAACGUUGCCGCAGGCAACGGCCCGAAGGGCGAAGCGCUUUAGCGCCGAGUAAUCCUUCCCCCACCACUG
rnacentral:sRNA from 1 species